rnacentral:rRNA from 1 species
GACGAACGCUGGCGGCGUGCCUAAUACAUGCAAGUCGAACGCACAGUUUAUACCGUAGCUUGCUACACCAUACACUGUGAGUUGCGAACGGGUGAGUAACGCGUAGGUAACCUGCCUGGUAGCGGGGGAUAACUAUUGGAAACGAUAGCUAAUACCGCAUAAUAUUGAUUAUUGCAUGAUAAUUGAUUGAAAGAUGCUAUUGCAUCACUACCAGAUGGACCUGCGUUGUAUUAGCUAGUAGGUGAGGUAACGGCUCACCUAGGCGACGAUACAUAGCCGACCUGAGAGGGUGAUCGGCCACACUGGGACUGAGACACGGCCCAGACUCCUACGGGAGGCAGCAGUAGGGAAUCUUCGGCAAUGGACGAAAGUCUGACCGAGCAACGCCGCGGGAGUGAAGAAGGGUGUCGGAUCGUAAAGCUCUGUUGUAAGAGAAGAACGGGUGUGAGAGUGGAAAGUUCACACUGUGACGGUAGCUUACCAGAAAGGGACGGCUAACUACGUG